rnacentral:rRNA from 1 species
GACGAACGCUGGCGGCGUGCUUAACGCAUGCAAGUCGAACGGAAAGGCCCUGCUUUUGUGGGGUGCUCGAGUGGCGAACGGGUGAGUAACACGUGAGUAACCUGCCCUUGACUUUGGGAUAACUUCAGGAAACUGGGGCUAAUACCGGAUAGGAGCUCCUGCUGCAUGGUGGGGGUUGGAAAGUUUCGGCGGUUGGGGAUGGACUCGCGGCUUAUCAGCUUGUUGGUGGGGUAGUGGCUUACCAAGGCUUUGACGGGUAGCCGGCCUGAGAGGGUGACCGGCCACAUUGGGACUGAGAUACGGCCCAGACUCCUACGGGAGGCAGCAGUGGGGAAUAUUGCACAAUGGGCGGAAGCCUGAUGCAGCAACGCCGCGUGCGGGAUGACGGCCUUCGGGUUGUAAACCGCUUUCGCCUGUGACGAAGCGUGAGCGACGGUAAUGGGUAAAGAAGCACCGGCUAACUACGUG